ACUGUCAAACCAUUUAGUGACGUGUAUUGUGAGUUUGGAAAAAUUUUAUAAAACUGUGAAAUUCUAAAUUGAAUUUCACGUCAAUGGCUUUUUAAAGCCAGUGAUAAAAUCAAUUCACGUUAACGCAUGUUGAAUGUAAUAAUUCUUUAAAUAAUUAAACUUUUACAACAAAUUUCCUUUUACAUAUUGUGUUGGCUAAAACACGAGUUGGGUGAAAAAAAUUUACAGGCGAACGUCACUUAAUCAAAAAAAGCGAAUAAGAACUUAAAAGCAUAGGGUGCAAGGAGGUUUACGGGUUGCGCUCCGUUUGCAGUGGUGGUUGUGCGGCAGUAUAAGAAAGUGUAAGGCGAGACUAAGGAAAAUGAGGAAAUAGAACGUGAGCAUAAAUUACAGAUCGAGGGGCCGAAGGGGUUACAUUUUUGUGAAUACGCGCUGUUUAAGUGCAAACGCGACGACUGGCCGACGUUGGAUAUCUGGUGCACUUUUACUUGAAUUUUUGGUUUAUCUUUAUAUUUUAGUUUAUCUACACAUAUUUUCAAAAAAAGUUUAUAGUGUUUGGCACAAACAAGUUAGCUUAAUCAAGUGACGGCAAUAAUCGAAAUACAAUUAUUAACAGCACCUGUGCCAGAUACUGGUAGCAGACGUUAAAAAACUACAGCAAUGAUGGAUGAGGACACAAGUACUUCGUCUGGAGGUGGUGUGAAGCUAUUCUUCGUACGCCUGUCACAAAUGUACCAAUCGACGCUGGAUCGCUGGACACCGCAUACUAGAAUGCGAUGGGCGGGUGCAAUUGUGAUUUUAUUGCUCUUCCUGCUACGCAUUUUCAUCUACCAAGGCUGGUAUAUAGUGUGCUAUGCGCUGGGAAUAUAUCAUUUAAAUUUGUUUAUUGCAUUUCUAACACCAAAAAUCGACCCGGAAUUCGAUCCAUACGAAAAUGAUGAAGAUGGUCCCAAUUUGCCAACACGCAGUAACGAAGAGUUCCGGCCGUUCAUACGACGUCUACCGGAAUUCAAAUUUUGGCUGUCGAUCACGAAAAGUACAAUCAUCGGUCUGAUAUGUACAUUCUUUGACUUCUUCAAUGUGCCUGUUUUCUGGCCUAUACUCGUCAUGUACUUCAUUACACUCUUCUGCAUAACAAUGAAGCGGCAAAUUAAGCAUAUGAUUAAGUACAAGUAUUUGCCAUUUACACGGAACAAGCCGCGCUAUCAACGUGUUGGUGAGUCACAGGCAACGACAAAGUGACAAUUAGCCGCACAGACACUGCAAAAAACAAACGACAACCAAUCGACAACGGGUAUUACGUCGAUACACGAGCAAAGAACAACAACAACAACAACAGCAACAGUAGCAGCAGCAGCAGCAGCAGCAAGUACAACGAUUGCCGCAACGGCAACAACAGCAACAUCGUUACCGGCUGCACCAUUGACAGCUGCGACUACGUUAGCAACAACAAACAUAGCAAAACCACCGCAAAUUAUAACUAUUGAUUUAAUUUGAGCGUGUCAGUGGCCGAGUCACAUAAAUCAAUCAUACAAAGCACAUUGUAACUGUAACGUUUGUAUGUAAAUAGCGUGCAAUAAAACAUACAAAAAAUUGUCAAACGACGUGUCGUUGUAGUGGCAACAUCCAUCAUUUCAUAGCUAUAUGUUACCGGAGUGCACUAUAAUACUACUUUGGCUUAAAGCGCUUGAAUUGAAUUUUGGUUUAAAGUAAUAUAUAUUUAUAUAUUAAUCAUUAUUAUUAAUUAUGCUUAGUAAUUUUAUGUGUACACCUGUAUUGAAUUUGUUCCAAACCUAAAUAUACACAUUCUAACGAAGUGUGCAACACCUUCUAGAAAACUAAGUACAUGAAUGGAUGCUAUUAAUUUAGUUUACCCAUAAAUGCUGUUGCCUAAAUGGUAGCAGCUAAUUAGUUAAACAACAAAAACAACUACAAAAUUUUAAAAAUUUUCAAAACUCGCAUAUGCACGUUAAUUUUGUGUUUUAGUUUUGUAUACAAAAAAGCUUUCCCCAACUUCAAUUUAUAGUAAUAUUAUAAUUGCGUAAAAUAUAAUUUUUCUGUUAACAAUACAACACUAAUUAGCAGUUAUAUGCGUUAGAUAACAUUUGUAUAUAGCGUCUUUUCCACACAGCAAGUCUUCAUUUCCAUUUACAUUUUGAAAUAUUCUUGAAAAGUUCACAAAUAUGUAGGUUAUGCGCCAAUGUUGACGAAUUGUUGAUUGUAAACCACAAAAGGAAUGAAAUACAUACCUACAUACAUAUAUACUAAGCGCAUGUGUGAGUUGCGAAGUUGAAACUGGGUACAGUGUACGAUUGUAAUAAAUAACAAUACCAAAUCAUUUGAAUAAAAUACAAAUAAAAUAACUUAAGUCGAAAAA
rnacentral:misc_RNA from 1 species